UGUUAAAAAUUUCAUCCAUUUCUAUUAUUAAAAACUAGCAUGGCUAACCAAAUAAUCAGACAAUUACAUGUGGUGUGCUAUGUGUACCUAAUUCUGACGUAUCUUUAGUAGUAAAAGGGAUGAAAUUUUUAACA
rfam:Gossypium raimondii Chr02_contig_1454, whole genome shotgun sequence.